AAUAUAAUUGGGGUUAGGGAAGCUAGGUGGCUAAAUGGAUAGAGAGCCAGGUCUGGAGAUGGGAGGUCCUGGGUUCAAAGAUGGCCCCAGACACUUCCCAGCUGUGUGACCCUGGGCAAGUCACUUAACCCCAAUUGCCUGGCCCUUACCAUUCUUCUGCCUUGGAAGUGAUACUUGAUAUCAAUAUAAGACAAUACAAUGUAAGACAUACACAUCUGAUACUUAGUAUUGAUAUAAGACAAAAGGAAUUUGGAAAUAUUUAAGCAAAUAAGUUAAAAUGCAAUGAAAAUAGGGAAUGUUAAUAUUCAGUUUUCUAAGUCAAUAUGCACCCACAGGAAUCUUAAUUGAUGGCUUAGUGCUCACCAUUUCUAUUUGAAUUUGACAUCACUGAAUGUUGCCUUUCAAGAUUUUAUGAACAUAGUUCAUUGACCUACAUGAUUUUAGUAGCAUGAUUAGAAAACUAACAUCAUAGGAGAUAAUACUCAUAUUUCCACAUGCCUUUAUCCUUUCCCAUAGUUCUUUGAUCAGUUUUGCUUUUCCAUCUUAAAAAUGCCAUGGGAAAAUUCGAAUUAUAUUGAGCUAUUUGAAAUGGCUUCUGAUUGUCUGCUGAUUAGGAAGAUACCAGCUUUAUCUACUCAGUAGAGUUGUGAGAAGUACACAUUUUAAAAAAUUGUUCAGUAGUUUCAGUCAUGUCAAACUCUAUAAUUCCAUUGAGGUUUUCCUAGUGGAAAAAGAAAUUCUUUAUUCCUUUUUUGAUUUAUUGGGGGACCUGGAGGUCCUCUUACCAUAGAGAUGUAGAGGGAUUAACCAGCCCACAGUGACAGGAAGUAGAAACUAUAGAGACAGGAAGUGAGAUAGGAGAAGACUAUAAAAAAGAGGGCCAGUGUCAGUUGGUCAGGUUGUCAGUUGCAAAUAGUUAGGGCUGGCAGUUGUGGAGAAAUUGGCUGCUGGGCAUGAAUUGGUUUUUGGGGGUUGGUUGCUGGUGGUGUGUUGGAUUGGUAGUUGGGAUUUAUUUGCCGGAAUAUAAAGGUGAGCCUGAGCUUACUGAGAGGGUUUUUGGCUUUAGCCUUUAGAGCACUUUUUGGGUUGUUGGCUUUUGGUUUGGGCUGUUGCGUUUUUUCCUUUCUUGAACUUUUUGGAAGAUGGCUGGUCUUCGUUGACAGACCUAAUUGGGGUUGGAUUAAACACUGAUUGGGUUGGAACUUUGUGGGAUAGGUGUUAGUUAUAGGUAGAGAUAAGCAGUUUUAGGUAGUAAUUAUAGGUAGUUAUAGGAUAACUAGAAGAGACAUUAGGAAAUUUCUUUCUCUACCUCUUUCCUGUAUUUCUCUCCUUUCCUACAUUCAUUUUACUAUAUUCUUUUACUAUCUCUAUUUUAAUUUAACUAAAUUGUUAAAUUAUUAAAAGCUGCUCUCUUAUUUUAUCAAAACUCCCAAUUUAACCCUUACACUGGUAAGGAUACUGGAGUGGUUUUCUAUUUUCUUCUCCAACUCAUUUUACAAGAGAGGAAACUGAGGCAAACAGUGUUAAGUGACUUGUCCAGGAUCACAGGAGUGGUUUGCCAUUUCCUUCUCCAGAUCAUUUUACAGAUGAGGAAAUUGAGGCAAAUGGGGUGAAGUGACUUGCCCAGGGACUUGCAGGUGUAAGGGAGAUGUUGCAAAAGAAGAAAAAAAAAAAACAGAUCCAGCAAAGGAACAGCUCAAGUGGGGGAAGGGCAAGGAAGACUCAAGAUUCCAGGAAGGAACAGAGAAACUGAGAGGAUUCAAAACUGUCACUUCAUUUCUGAUCAUCUCUCUAUUGGAGUAGAGGAUCUGAGAGGAGGACCUCUGAGACAGAGGAUCCUUCUGAACAUUGACUACUUUCCAGUGAACCCCUAAAGCUGUCUACUGAGAAGAUUUCUCUUUCCCCAAAUUGUCAUGAACUUCAACUCAGAGCCAGAUUAGCUUAGGACGCAGGACAAACCCAAUAACUGACCAAAGGAAGAUCAGGACAGAAGAAUCCAUAGCAGAUGAUGACAAGAGAAGGAACUACGGAGGGGUAUAUGUUGGCUUACCAUCGGAUGCUGCCACAAUGGUUACCAGUCAAACAAA